UUAAGUUAUUAAGGGCGCACGGUGGAUGCCUUGGCACUAGAAGCCGAUGAAGGACGUUACUAACGACGAUAUGCUUUGGGGAGCUGUAAGUAAGCUUUGAUCCAGAGAUUUCCGAAUGGGGAAACCCAGCAUGAGUUAUGUCAUGUUAUCGAUAUGUGAAUACAUAGCAUAUCAGAAGGCACACCCGGAGAACUGAAACAUCUUAGUACCCGGAGGAAGAGAAAGAAAAUUCGAUUCCCUUAGUAGCGGCGAGCGAAACGGGAAGAGCCCAAACCAACAAGCUUGCUUGUUGGGGUUGUAGGACACUCUGUACGGAGUUACAAAGGACGACAUUAGACGAAUCAUCUGGAAAGAUGAAUCAAAGAAGGUAAUAAUCCUGUAGUCGAAAAUGUUGUCUCUCUUGAGUGGAUCCUGAGUACGACGGAGCACGUGAAAUUCCGUCGGAAUCUGGGAGGACCAUCUCCUAAGGCUAAAUACUCUCUAGUGACCGAUAGUGAACCAGUACCGUGAGGGAAAGGUGAAAAGCACCCCGGAAGGGGAGUGAAAUAGAACCUGAAACCGUGUGCUUACAAGUAGUCAGAGCCCGUUAAUGGGUGAUGGCGUGCCUUUUGUAGAAUGAACCGGCGAGUUACGAUUUGAUGCAAGGUUAAGCAGUAAAUGUGGAGCCGUAGCGAAAGCGAGUCUGAAUAGGGCGUUUAGUAUUUGGUCGUAGACCCGAAACCAGGUGAUCUACCCUUGGUCAGGUUGAAGUUCAGGUAACACUGAAUGGAGGACCGAACCGACUUACGUUGAAAAGUGAGCGGAUGAACUGAGGGUAGCGGAGAAAUUCCAAUCGAACCUGGAGAUAGCUGGUUCUCUCCGAAAUAGCUUUAGGGCUAGCCUCAAGUGAUGAUUAUUGGAGGUAGAGCACUGUUUGGACGAGGGGCCCCUCUCGGGUUACCGAAUUCAGACAAACUCCGAAUGCCAAUUAAUUUAACUUGGGAGUCAGAACAUGGGUGAUAAGGUCCGUGUUCGAAAGGGAAACAGCCCAGACCACCAGCUAAGGUCCCAAAAUAUAUGUUAAGUGGAAAAGGAUGUGGCGUUGCCCAGACAACUAGGAUGUUGGCUUAGAAGCAGCCAUCAUUUAAAGAGUGCGUAAUAGCUCACUAGUCGAGUGACACUGCGCCGAAAAUGUACCGGGGCUAAACAUAUUACCGAAGCUGUGGAUUGUCCUUUGGACAAUGGUAGGAGAGCGUUCUAAGGGCGUUGAAGCAUGAUCGUAAGGACAUGUGGAGCGCUUAGAAGUGAGAAUGCCGGUGUGAGUAGCGAAAGACGGGUGAGAAUCCCGUCCACCGAUUGACUAAGGUUUCCAGAGGAAGGCUCGUCCGCUCUGGGUUAGUCGGGUCCUAAGCUGAGGCCGACAGGCGUAGGCGAUGGAUAACAGGUUGAUAUUCCUGUACCACCUAUAAUCGUUUUAAUCGAUGGGGGGACGCAGUAGGAUAGGCGAAGCGUGCGAUUGGAUUGCACGUCUAAGCAGUAAGGCUGAGUAUUAGGCAAAUCCGGUACUCGUUAAGGCUGAGCUGUGAUGGGGAGAAGACAUUGAGUCUUCGAGUCGUUGAUUUCACACUGCCGAGAAAAGCCUCUAGAUAGAAAAUAGGUGCCCGUACCGCAAACCGACACAGGUAGUCAAGAUGAGAAUUCUAAGGUGAGCGAGCGAACUCUCGUUAAGGAACUCGGCAAAAUGACCCCGUAACUUCGGGAGAAGGGGUGCUCUUUAGGGUUAACGCCCAGAAGAGCCGCAGUGAAUAGGCCCAAGCGACUGUUUAUCAAAAACACAGGUCUCUGCUAAACCGUAAGGUGAUGUAUAGGGGCUGACGCCUGCCCGGUGCUGGAAGGUUAAGAGGAGUGGUUAGCUUCUGCGAAGCUACGAAUCGAAGCCCCAGUAAACGGCGGCCGUAACUAUAACGGUCCUAAGGUAGCGAAAUUCCUUGUCGGGUAAGUUCCGACCCGCACGAAAGGCGUAACGAUUUGGGCACUGUCUCAACGAGAGACUCGGUGAAAUCAUAGUACCUGUGAAGAUGCAGGUUACCCGCGACAGGACGGAAAGACCCCGUGGAGCUUUACUGUAGCCUGAUAUUGAAAUUCGGCACAGCUUGUACAGGAUAGGUAGGAGCCUUUGAAACGUGAGCGCUAGCUUACGUGGAGGCGCUGGUGGGAUACUACCCUAGCUGUGUUGGCUUUCUAACCCGCACCACUUAUCGUGGUGGGAGACAGUGUCAAGCGGGCAGUUUGACUGGGGCGGUCGCCUCCUAAAAGGUAACGGAGGCGCUCAAAGGUUCCCUCAGAAUGGUUGGAAAUCAUUCAUAGAGUGUAAAGGCAUAAGGGAGCUUGACUGCGAGACCUACAAGUCGAGCAGGGUCGAAAGACGGACUUAGUGAUCCGGUGGUUCCGCAUGGAAGGGCCAUCGCUCAACGGAUAAAAGCUACCCCGGGGAUAACAGGCUUAUCUCCCCCAAGAGUUCACAUCGACGGGGAGGUUUGGCACCUCGAUGUCGGCUCAUCGCAUCCUGGGGCUGUAGUCGGUCCCAAGGGUUGGGCUGUUCGCCCAUUAAAGCGGUACGCGAGCUGGGUUCAGAACGUCGUGAGACAGUUCGGUCCCUAUCCGUCGUGGGCGUAGGAAAUUUGAGAGGAGCUGUCCUUAGUACGAGAGGACCGGGAUGGACAUACCUCUGGUGUACCAGUUGUCGUGCCAACGGCAUAGCUGGGUAGCUAUGUGUGGACGGGAUAAGUGCUGAAAGCAUCUAAGCAUGAAGCCCCCCUCAAGAUGAGAUUUCCCAACUUCGGUUAUAAGAUCCCUCAAAGAUGAUGAGGUUAAUAGGUUCGAGGUGGAAGCAUGGUGACAUGUGGAGCUGACGAAUACUAAUCGAUCGAAGACUUAAUC
rnacentral:rRNA from 1 species